rnacentral:rRNA from 1 species
GAUGAGCGCUGGCGGUAUGCUUUACACAUGCAAGUCGAACGCAAGUUUUAACUUGAGUGGCGGACGGGUGAGUAACACGUGAGAAUUCGCCUUUAGGCGGGGAAUAACCAUUGGAAACAGUAGCUAAUGCCCCAUAUGCUUUUAAAAGUGAAAGGAAAUUUUUCCACCUGAAGAGAAGCUCGCGGCUGAUUAGCUAGUUGGUUAAGGUAAUGGCUUACCAAGGCGACGAUCAGUAACUGGUUUGAGAGAACGAUCAGUCACACUGGAACUGAGACACGGUCCAGACUCCUACGGGAGGCAGCAGUGGGGAAUUUUCCGCAAUGGGCGAAAGCCUGACGGAGCAAUACCGCGUGAGGGACAAAGGCCUUCGGGUUGUAAACCUCUUUUACCCGGGAUGAUAAUGACAGUACCGGGAGAAUAAGCCCCGGCUAACUCCGUGCCAGCCGCCGCGGUAACAC